rnacentral:lncRNA from 1 species
GGGGGUCCGGAAGUGUUAGGAGCCUCGCGAAGGGUUGGUGUUCAUCUGCUUGCAGAGGAAAGCCAGAGACGGGGUCUUGCCACACUGUCCCAGCUGGUCUCUAACUUCUGGGCUCGAGCAAUCCUCCCACCUUGGCCCCACAAAGUGCAAAGAUUACAGACGUGAGCCACUGCACCUGGCCUAAUCCUUAAAACACAUCUGAGAGGUCCAUACCCCUGAACUUCUCAAAUAUUUCCAAUGCUCAUCACUGGGUCUUUUGCAUGGUCAAAAGGGUUGCAGGUGAUUCUUCUGUGUUGUAAAGUUGAAGAGCAGCUUAAUCCACACUUCCUUUUUGGUCUCACUUCUCCCCUUUGUUCCGGUCAAACCCUGACUGCUUCAAAAGGAAAACUGAUAUUUAUCCUGAUUGCCUACUCACUAGAGUUCUGGACCUGUUUUCCAAAGAAUUCCACAGUGGGGGCCACCUUGUACUGGCAGUUGAAAAACAGGAAAUAGACAGAGAUCAUCCAUUUCCCCUGAGUUCACUGAAACACUCCAGUAAGAAGAUUGAAAAUAGCAGACCGGGGCCGAGCGCAGUGGCUCAUGCCUGUAAUCCCAGCACUUUGGGAGGCCGAGGCAGGCUGAUCAUCUGAGGUCAGGAGUUCGAGACCAGCCUGGCCAACAUGGUGAAAUCCUGUCUCUACUAAAAAUACAUAAAAAUAAAUAUAUGUCACUUGA